UGGCUCCUUGGUCAAGUGGUUAAGACACCGCCCUUUCACGGCGGUAACAUGGGUUCAAAUCCCGUAGGAGUCAU
rnacentral:tRNA from 2 species